UGCGGAGAAAGCGCCCCGGGCACAACACCUUACGAACAUGCCCCAACCAGGCUCAUAACCUGAAGGUCGUAGGUUCAAAUCCUACCCCCGCAACCA
rnacentral:tRNA from 1 species